UACGUAGGUGGCAAGCGUUGUCCGGAUUUACUGGGCGUAAAGAGCGCGCAGGCGGUCGUUCAAGUCGCGUGUGAAAGCCCCCGGCUCAACUGGGGAGGGUCACGCGAUACUGGUCGACUCGAAGGCAGGAGAGGGUAGUGGAAUUCCCGGUGUAGUGGUGAAAUGCGUAGAUAUCGGGAGGAACACCAGUGGCGAAGGCGACUACCUGGCCUGUUUCUUGACGCUGAGGCGCGAAAGCUAGGGGAGCAAACGGG
rnacentral:rRNA from 2 species